rnacentral:rRNA from 1 species
GGAUGAAUAUUGGUCAAUGGACGAGAGUCUGAACCAGCCAAGUAGCGUGCAGGACGACGGCCCUAUGGGUUGUAAACUGCUUUUGUACGGGGAUAAAGUGAGCCACGUGUGGUUUAUUGCAGGUACCGUACGAAUAAGGACCGGCUAAUUCCGUGCCAGCAGCCGCGGUAAUACGGAAGGUCCGGGCGUUAUCCGGAUUCAUUGGGUUUAAAGGGAGCGUAGGCCGCCCCUUAAGCGUGUUGUGAAAUGCCGCGGCUCAACCGUGGCACUGCAGCGCGAACUGGGGGGCUUGAGUGCGCGCAGCGA